rnacentral:rRNA from 1 species
CUCUGGUGGCGAGUGGCGAACGGGUGAGUAAUAUAUCGGAACGUACCCUGGAGUGGGGGAUAACGUAGCGAAAGUUACGCUAAUACCGCAUACGAUCUAAGGAUGAAAGUGGGGGAUCGCAAGACCUCAUGCUCGUGGAGCGGCCGAUAUCUGAUUAGCUAGUUGGUAGGGUAAAAGCCUACCAAGGCAUCGAUCAGUAGCUGGUCUGAGAGGACGACCAGCCACACUGGAACUGAGACACGGUCCAGACUCCUACGGGAGGCAGCAGUGGGGAAUUUUGGACAAUGGGCGAAAGCCUGAUCCAGCAAUGCCGCGUGAGUGAAGAAGGCCUUCGGGUUGUAAAGCUCUUUUGUCAGGGAAGAAACGGUGAGGGCUAAUAUCCCUUGCUAAUGACGGUACCUGAAGAAUAAGCACCGGCUAACUACGUGCCAGCAGCCGCGGUAAUACGUAGGGUGCAAGCGUUAAUCGGAAUUACUGGGCGUAAAGCGUGCGCAGGCGGUUUUGUAAGUCUGAUGUGAAAUCCCCGGGCUCAACCUGGGAAUUGCAUUGGAGACUGCAAGGCUAGAAUCUGGCAGAGGGGGGUAGAAUUCCACGUGUAGCAGUGAAAUGCGUAGAUAUGUGGAGGAACACCGAUGGCGAAGGCAGCCCCCUGGGUCAAGAUUGACGCUCAUGCACGAAAGCGUGGGGAGCAAACAGGAUUAGAUACCCUGGUAGUCCACGCCCUAAACGAUGUCUACUAGUUGUCGGGUCUUAAUUGACUUGGUAACGCAGCUAACGCGUGAAGUAGACCGCCUGGGGAGUACGGUCGCAAGAUUAAAACUCAAAGGAAUUGACGGGGACCCG